GAAGGGUGGCCGAGUGGUUAAAGGCAACAGACUGUAAAUCUGUCGGCGUUAGCCUACGCAAGUUCGAAUCUUGCCCCUUCC
rnacentral:tRNA from 1 species